rnacentral:rRNA from 1 species
UACGUAGGGUGCAAGCGUUAAUCGGAAUUACUGGGCGUAAAGCGUGCGCAGGCGGUUGUGCAAGACCGAUGUGAAAUCCCCGGGCUUAACCUGGGAAUGGCAUUGGUGACUGGCAGGCUUUGAGUGUGGCAGAGGGAGGUAGAAUUCCACGUGUAGCAGUGAAAUGCGUAGAGAUGUGGAGGAAUACCGAUGGCGAAGGCAGCCUCCUGGGCCAACACUGACGCUCAUGCACGAAAGUGUGGGGAUCAAACAGG